AGCGUCCAUGAUGUUACGCAAUUACCUACAUUGUUUGAGCCUCAUGAAAACAUAACUGGCUGAGACGCCU
rnacentral:snoRNA from 2 species